CACCGCUCUUCAAAUGACAUCGGCUCAUGCUCUGAGCGCUUCCCAACUUGUACCUCGCACUAUUAGCAUGCGACAAUUCCUGGACAUUGGCCGUUGGAAUAGAAAUCACUGUGAAACCCUUCUUGAUUUAACUCUCUACUCGUUCAAUAGGCCACAUUUGCACACAGCUCGGUGAUAGCUUGGGUCUGAUGGUAAAUGUGACUAUAGUACGCUUCCUCGACUUAUAUCCCAGUCUGAAAAAAACUUUUACUUGAAAUACAAAACAAAAACUACAGAGAAGAGAAAAUCUGCAGCUGCUGGAAAUCAAAGUACUGGAGGAACUUGGCAGGCCAAGCAACAUCUAUAGAAAAGAGUAAACAGUCGACGUUCAACCCAAGACCCUUCAUCAAGACUUCAUCUAAACUACAGACACUAGAAAUUAUAAGAUAAAAAUAGCAAAUGCUGGAAUUAUUUAGCAGAUCAGAUGGCAUCCUUGGAAAAAUGAAAAGUAGAGUUAAUGUCACCCAUUGUCAGUACUGGCCAUUUAUCAGACCAAUCAGGCUGAUAUCUGAACUUUUUUAAGGCCUAAAGAUACCAAUGUGAAAUAUUGAAGAUGAGCUUCUUGAAGUGGAGGUAGAAGUCAAACAUAAGGAGGUAAAGAUGGGAAUGGGACGGAUAAUUAAACUGGCAAGCAAUUGCGGCUCAUUAACAACAGAACAGAAAUGUUUUGCAGCCACUCAAACUGUGGUAUUUCCAUUGUAGAGGAAACUACUGUACAUUGUUUUAAACCAAGUCGUGCACUGGAUUGAGGUGUUCUGCAAAGCUUUCACUCAAUUUCCCUGAUGCAGAGGAGACUGUAUGAAUGCAGUACGUUAAAUUAGAAGAAAUUGGAAUGAAUCAUUCCUUAACUUAGAAAGAGUGUUUGAAACCCUGGUAUAAUGCAGGAACUGGUUCUUUGGCCCACAAUGUUGCACUGAAUCAAUUAAACCAAAUUAUGCCUAAUUACAUUAAUCCCUUUUGCCUGCACAUAGCUAAGAUCUCUGCAUUUCCUGCAUAUUCAUUUGCCUAUCUAAGGGCCACUUAAAUAUCUCUAUUGUAUCUGCUCCCAUCGCCACUCCUGGCAACAUAUUCUAGGCAACCAACACACUCUUGUAUUUAAAAAAAUUACCCCAUACAUCUCCUUCAAAAUUUCUCCUCCAUCUUAAAUGCAUGGCCUCUAGUAUUAGCCAUUUCAUCUUUGAAAAAUUAUAUCCAUUGUUUGUCUAUGCCUGUCAUAAUUUUAUAAACUUCUUUCAGGUUUCUCCUCAACUUCCACCACUUCUGUUGAACAACCCUAGUUUGUCCCGUCCCUCCUUAUAACUCCUACCCUCUAAUCCAGGCAGUGCUCUAGUAAACCUCUUCUGCAUCCUCUCCAAAGCCUCCACCUUCUCAAAAUUAGAAUCAUAGUCAUAGAAAAGUACAGUACAGAAAUAGGACCUUUGGCCCAUCCAGUUCAUGCUGAACCAUUUAAACUGCCUACUUCCUGCAAGCAUUUACCCAAUCUAUACCACUCAUUAUUUUGUAUACCUCUGUUAAAUCACCUCUCAAUCUUCUAAGUUCCAAGGAAUAAAGUCCUAACCUAUUCAAUCUUUCCUUAUAACUUAAGUCCUCCAGACCUAGCAACAUCCUCAUAAAUUUUCUCUGUACUCUUUCAACCAUGUUUACAUCUUUCCUGCAGGUAUGUAACCAAAACUGCACACUCUACUCCAAGUUAGGCCUCACUAAUAUCUUACACAACUUCAACAUAACAUCCCAUCUCCUGCACUUCGUGUUAUGAUUUAUGAUGGCCAAUGUGGCAAAAGCUUUCUUUAUGACUAUCCAACUGUGACACCACUUUCGAUGAAUUAUGAACCUGUAUUCCCAGAUUACCAUUCACUGUUAAGACCUACCAUGGUUAGCCCUAUCAAAGAACAACACCUCACACUUGUCUGCAUUAAAUUCCGUCUGUCAUUUUUCAAUUAACUUUGCCAGCUGGUUCAUAUCCUGCUGUAAGUCAUGAUAGUCUUCCUCACUGUCCACUACACCCAAAGUCUUGGUGUCAUCCCCAUAUUUGCUGAUCCAGUUAACCACAUUGUCAUCCAGAUCAUUGAUGACAAACAACAACAACAGCUGCAGCACUCUGCUAGUCACAGGCCUCCAGUCAGAGAGGCAACCAUCUACUAGCCAAUGUCUAAUCCAAUUUUCUACCUCAUCUUGAAUACUGGCAACUGAACCUUUCUUGACCAACCAAGAGGGACCUUGUCAAAUGCCUUGCUAAAGUCCAUGUAGACAGCAUGUACUUCCAUCUGGAAUUGAAUGCAAUAUUCCAGAUGCUGCCUAACUAGAGUUAUAUAAAAGUGCAGCAUAAGUUCCUGACUCUUGAACUCAAUGUCUUGACUAAUAAAGGCAAAUAUGCCAUGUUAAUGAUCUGUACCAAUUGCACAAGGUUUAUCUGACCACAAAUUGAACAAAUUAGUUGAAGGUAAGUAAUUAAAGACUGCCUCACACAUUUCAUUGAAUUACUAAUAUAAAAAAAUAGUAGGAUCAUGCAAAAAGUUGAAGAUAGGAUUAGAAGACAUGACAACACACAAUAUGCUGCCAUAUUAGCGCUUUCCUUAACUAUUGUAAAAUGUGGAGGGUUAGGUGAACAUCCUCCAUACUCAUCUGGUCUGUUUCACAUAUCACUUUGUUUCUGAUUUAAGCAACCUCUCAGCUUUGAAGUUGUCUUCCUAUCUCUCCAUGGUAUUUUUUGGUCCUUUUUUCUAAGUCCUAAGGUUGACUAUUUAAUAGAUCUACAAUUGGUAGAUGCCUCAUCCAUCAAGGCCCUAAGAUUUUGUUUGUUAAACAUCCUUUAUUUCUUCUUCCUCUUUAAAAAGUCCUUUAAAAUGUAGAUCUUUGAUAGAUUACAAUAGAAGACUAUGAGCACACCUUAAGUAGUAGAGGAGGUACCUAAUAAAGUGGCCACUAUAGUUUUUAAGUGUCCCAACACAUUAUUCCCAUUUUAUGUGGAAUUUGGAUCAGUUAUUAUUUUUGAAAAUACAAAUGAGCUGGGGCAAUAUAUUCUGGAGGACUAAAUGAUCCUAAAUAAUGGUAAAUGCAACUAAUGCUUCAGUGGUACACACCUAGAUUAAAACAUUCAAAGUUCAAAGUAAAUUUAUUGUCAAAGUACAUAUAUGCCACCAUAUACCACCCUGAAAUUCAUUUUCUUGUGGGAAUAUUCAAUAAAUCCAUAAUAGAAUAAUAACCGUAGUAGAAUCAAUGAAAGACCACACCAACUUGUGCAUUCAACCAGUGUGCAAAAACAACAAAUUGCACAAAUGCAAAAAUAAAUAAGUAAUAAACAAUAAAUAUUCAGAACAUGAGAUGAAGAACCUUUGCAAGUGAGUCCAUAGGUUAUAGCAGGGGGCUGAGCAUAUAGCCUCAUGGUGCACUUGUGCUGAUGGAGCACUGACAAUGUGGAACUUUGAAGCCAUUAGCCAGCAACAAUGCUCAUGUGUACAGCUUUUACUCCAUAAACGCGCAACAAAAAAAAUUUAAAACUCCAACAUCACUCACAUUUGCCAAUGAAACUAAAUAAUUGAACCUUUUGAUGUUAUAGUCAUUAGUCUUUCAAAUUAGAGAUCUAAUUGAUAUAAAGUUAAAAUCUGACCUGAACUUGACCUACUUUAAUUUUUGCUUUACCAGUUUCAACAAGUCAUGACAAAAUCACUAUUAGUAGGGAACAAAAUAAAGUGGAGUGCAGAGACUAUGGCAUCAUCAGUGGACUAACUUGAGUGGUAAGUGAACUGGAAAAGCUCCAAUGUAACAGGAAGACGAAAUUUAGAACCAGCUGCUUAAAGCUCUUCAUUGAGACAGGUUACUGUCGCCCAAGGAUGGUGCUGCUGCCUUGAAGCCUGAGGAGACAGUUCUAGAGAGAUGUUGAAGAUGUAUAGUUAGAACCUCAGUUAACUGGGUAGCACAGUCCCAGAGCACCCAGUCAGGUACAUUAUCAAGCCCUGCAGCUUUACAUGAGUUGACCCUGGUUAGGGUCUUCCUCAUGUUAGCUGCAGCCAGCCAGUCUGUCUGCUCCUCGAUGGGGUGAUGGGAGGAGGGGAGGCCUUCUCAUUAGCACAUCGUUCCGUCAAUCAAACAGAGUGUAAAGGAUAUUCAGCCAAUCAGGAAGAGAAGUGCCACUGUCAUUGCCAUGCAGGAUAGACUUGUCAUCUCUUAUGACUUGAAUGCCUUGCCACAUGUGCCUCAUGUCUCCCUUGUCACAAAAAUGGCUGUAUAUUCUGUGAAUAGUCCUGUACUGCCUUCCUGAUGGUGCAAGGAAGUGCAGCUCUUGCUGAUCUGAGAGCUGUCUUUUACCCCAAUCUGAAAGCAGAAUCCUGAUCUCUCAGACAUGCAUAGACCUAUGCUUUUAGCCAUGGCUUCUGAUUUGCCCUCACAUAGAUGUGUUUUACAACAGACAUUCUCAACUAUGUACUUGUACGCAAAGUCUCACUGUUUAGUAACACUCUGUAAGGCCCUGUAAUUCAUUUUGUGUUUCCCGUGCUUUGUAAGCACAGCUCUUUGCAUUUGCUUGAAUUAAAUUCCAUCAGCCAUUUCCUUAUCCAACUUCCCAGUUCAUCUAGAUCCUUCUGCAAGGCCUGUUGUUAUAAGACUACUGAAUGGACUCUUGGCCUCACAAUCUACCUUAUUAUGAUCAUACACGUCAUCUUUUACCUGCACUGCACUUUCUCUGUAGCUUUUACACUUUAUUCUCUAUUAUUAUUGUUUUACUUUGUUCUACCAAAGUAAUGAUUUGAACAGUAUGCUUUUCACUGUAUCUUAGUACAUCUAACAAUAAAUAUCCAAUAAACCAAUUUUGAUGUCAUCUGCAAACUUACUGGUCAUGCUACCUGUAUUCUUUUCCAAAUCUUUAAUGUGUAUGAUGAACAAUAAGGACACAGCACUGAUCCUUGCGACACAUCGCUGGCCACAAGCUUCCAGUAUGAAAAACAACCCUCUACAACCACCAAGCCAAUUUUGUACCCAACUUUCUUUUUUAUCCCAAUUCCCAUGUAUUCUAACCUUCUGGACCAGCCUACCACAUGGGACAUUGUCAAAGGUCUUGCUAAAGUCCAUGUAAACAGCUGAGCUCUUCUACUGAUUGAGAGUGGAUUUUAGUGGACCUAUUUCAUGCACAUUUUUGUUUGAACUAAUUGGAAAUGUUUUGUCAAAUUAAAGAUACACAUGCACAAAAUGUUUCUUCAAGUGACCUCAUUCUUAUCAAAUGUGUACAUGUAUAACAUUUAAAACAGUUUCUUACUGCUUUUCACAAAAUCAGUUGACCACUAUAUCCACAUCAGCUACACCUCCGCAGCCCCUCCACAGCCUUCAACCUACCCCCACCUCUGCAUUGCCACUUUACGUUUACACUCCACACCUCAUAGCUACACUGACAUAGUCACUGUGUUUUCAUAUGCCCUGCUGCUACCUUGGAGAGUUCCUCUAGCUGAGUCACUUUAUCACUUUAUCAUUCCCUGUCACAGCCACCUUAUGUUCAGGUACUCCUGCACCCCUUAUGUAUAUACAAUCAGUCUAUGUACAUACAUUAAUCUUAUACAUAAAUAAGAUAAUAUACACAGCCAUAUUCAAUAGUUACUUAUACAAUGUGUUUUAUAGGAUUGCUUUUCUAUUAAUUGUGUUUUUUUAAUGCUGCAUCGAAUCAUCGGAGUGGCAAUCAUUUUGUUCUCCCUUACACUUGUGUACUGAAGAAUGACAAUAAACAAUCCUGAAUCUUGAAUUUUUAAUCAGGUUGAAUUUUACCUUCAUUGUGAAUUUCUACUCAAUUUUUCUACUCAAUUUCUACUCAAUCCAGUCCCUUAGCCUGGUUCUUGAAAUUCAGUCUGUUAAUUCUUUCAAGAAAACUUAGCCAACGUUUUCACUGGCACUUGUUCUGACAUAUCUAUGAAAUUACCAAAUUAUUGAAAUAUUUUUUAAACUGCAUAUCCUGGAAAACUGAGAAAUAAAAAACUAAAUACAGGAAGCACUCAGCAUCUGAGAAAUGGAAACCAGAACUACCAUUUUCUUCAGAGUCCCUUCAUCAGAACAUGUGGAAAAUACAUCUGCAAAUCAACAUUAUAUUAAGUUUUGUCUCUGUUCUCUAUCCAUGGGUGCUCUCUGGCCUCUUGAGUGUUUCUAUCAUUUUCUAUUUUGUCAAUAUUCCUCUACCCAUCAAAAGCUUCCAACCACCAUAACCAGCUCCUGCUCUCCUUCCCACCAAACACAGAACUUUGAUGUCUUCGUGACUUUGACCACAAGCACAGUAAGGAUGUGGAUGUGACAGUAAGGAUGUGGAUGUGGAUUCUAAACCCAUCUUCAGGAGUGAAGAAUUGAGUGGCACAUUUUUGACAAAGGAUAUACUGUUUGGUCAAUUGCACUCAAGGAAAUCUGUUCCAACAUUACUGUGUUGAUGACUUUUAGCAAAUAAAAGCGAUUGGAGAUAAAUGACGGCAUCGAGAACAGCAUAAACUACUCGCAGUUUAAACGAUAGAAAGAGUUGCUGACAUCGAAAAAAGUUUAAUGAAAGUCUUUGUAGACGGACAACAUCACAGACAUGUCUUCUAUUAAACUUCUGAAGUCAGACUACACUCCAGAGAUAUUUACAGUUCCAGUACACUACUGCUUGGGAGCAUAUGUAUAAAUGAAUCAGGCCUCCAGCACCCUGUCAAUGUUGUGAAGGUAUCAUGUUGGAAAUAUGCAGCAUUGGGGUUAGAAGUUUAACAUUUAUCCAUUCAUCUCCUCAAAUUUAGAAAGAACAUUAUUACGUUAAGAUAUACUGUA